UUGGGACUGAGACACGGCCCAGACUCCUACGGGAGGCAGCAGUGGGGGAUAUUGCACAAUGGGGGAAACCCUGAUGCAGCGACGCCGCGUGGAGGAAGAAGGUCUUCGGAUUGUAAACUCCUGUUGUUGAGGAAGAUAAUGACGGUACUCAACAAGGAAGUGACGGCUAACUACGUGCCAGCAGCCGCGGUAAAACGUAGGUCACAAGCGUUGUCCGGAAUUACUGGGUGUAAAGGGAGCGCAGGCGGGAAGACAAGUUGGAAGUGAAAACCAUGGGCUCAACCCAUGAAUUGCUUUCAAAACUGUUUUUCUUGAGUAGUGCAGAGGUAGGUGGAAUUCCCGGUGUAGCGGUGGAAUGCGUAGAUAUCGGGAGGAACACCAGUGGCGAAGGCGGCCUACUGGGCACCAACUGACGCUGAGGCUCGAAAGUGUGGGUAGCAAACAGGAUUAGAUACCCUGGUAGUCCACACCGUAAACGAUGAUUACUAGGUGUUGGAGGAUUGACCCCUUCAGUGCCGCAGUUAACACAAUAAGUAAUCCACCUGGGGAGUACGACCGCAAGGUUGAAACUCAAAGGAAUUGACGGGGGCCCGCACAAGCAGUGGAGUAUGUGGUUUAAUUCGAAGCAACGCGAAGAACCUUACCAGGUCUUGACAUCCGAUGCAUAGCACAGAGAUGUGUGAAAUCCUUCGGGACAUCGAGACAGGUGGUGCAUGGUUGUCGUCAGCUCGUGUCGUGAGAUGUUGGGUUAAGUCCCGCAACGAGCGCAACCC
rnacentral:rRNA from 1 species